CCUACGGGAGGCAGCAGUGGGGAAUAUUGCGCAAUGGGCGAAAGCCUGACGCAGCGACGCCGCGUGAGGGAUGAAGGUCUUCGGAUCGUAAACCUCUGUCAGCAGGGAAGAACGGUCACUGUGCUAAUCAGCAGUGAAUUGACGGUACCUGCAAAGGAAGCACCGGCUAACUCAGUGCCAGCAGCCGCGGUAAUACGGAGGGUGCGGGCGUUAAUCGGAAUUACUGGGCGUAAAGCGCUCGUAGUCGGUAUGUCAAGUCCAGGGUCAAAUCCCCGCGCUCAACGGGGGAACUGCCUUUGAAACUGGCGAACUAGAGUGUGUGAGAGGAUAGUGGAAGUCCAGGUGUAGGAGUGAAAUCCGUAGAUAUCUGGAGGAACAUCAGUGGCGAAGGCGACUAUCUGGCACAUAACUGACGCUGAGGAGCGAAAGCGUGGGUAGCAAACAGGAUUAGAUACCCGGGUAGUC
rnacentral:rRNA from 1 species